CCUACGGUAGGCAGCAGUGAGGAAUAUUGGUCAAUGGACGAGAGUCUGAACCAGCCAAGUAGCGUGAAGGAUGACUGCCCUAUGGCUUGUAAACUUCUUUUAUAUGGGAAUAAAACAAGGUAUGCAUACCCUCCUGUAAGUACCAUAUGAAUAAGGAUCGGCUAACUCCGUGCCAGCAGCCGCGGUAAUACGGAGGAUCCGAGCGUUAUCCGGAUUUAUUGGGUUUAAAGGGAGCGUAGGUGGAUUGUUAAGUCAGUUGUGAAAGUUUGCGGCUCAACCGUAAAAUUGCAACUGAUACUGGCAGUCUUGAGUACAGUUGAGGUAGGCGGAAUGCGUGGUGUAGCGGUGAAAUGCUUAGAUAUCAUGCAGAACACCGAUUGCGAAGGCAGCUUACCAAGCUGUGACUGACAUUGAUGCACGAAAGUGUGGGUAUCAAACAGGAUUAGAUACCCCUGUAGUC
rnacentral:rRNA from 1 species